rnacentral:misc_RNA from 1 species
UAUCCACAAUGGCUCCCGUUAGUCGGUUUCGUGAACGUUUUUAAUGAAUUUACGUAACGAAUUGCACGAUACAGUGCGCCGUCACUUAGAUCACAGUUAAAAGUACCCAAGAAAUAAUAUAUUUGACGCAUAAGUUUCGGUGGUUUUGUGCGCAGUGCGCUUCGCCAGUGGAACCGAUUCUAACCUCAAAGAGGACAUGCUCAGUGUUCGGUCUCUUAUAAAGUUCGGGGCAAAUUGAAGAAUAUCAGCAUGCAGAGCCUUUUAAAGUGCUCUGCUCGACGCUUUAUCGUGCCGAGAACAUUCCUCGCCCUAUCAAUAAAUUCUGGGGUAAGACAGGUUCCCUCAUUGCAUCAGAGAUACAUUCAAACUUGGUUGCAGGAUCAGAACCUAAGACACCUGCGCAGGGAAUUUCGGGCAUUUCAGUCAUUAUUACGACGCAGUAAUUUGAAUGGUACUAUUGGUUAUCGGCAAUGUUUAAGGAGCUUAAGCACAUCCUCAGAUCGAAGACUUCAGAAAGACAAUUCGUCAAAUCCAUCAGGAAGUGGAAAAGGGCCGAAGAAGGAUGAUGAUUUUGAAAAGCUAUUACCUAUCCUAAUAAAAAUGUUUGUAUGGUUGCUGUCCUUCUACCUUGUAUUGUUUUUCUUCUCGAAAAUACCAAAGAAUAACAUAUUGGAGGAAUCAUCGCAAGUCUCUUGGCAUGAAUUUGUUCAUGAAAUGUUGGCAAAAGGAGAAGUCCAAGAGCUUGUGGUAAGACCAGAACUCGAGGCAGUUUUUAUAUACCUUUACCCAGGCGCAAUUAUUAAGGGUAGACGUGCACUGUUUCCUGUGUACCAUAUGUCAUUAGCAGAUAUUAGCAAAUUGGAAGAGAAAAUUAGAGAAGCAGAACAUACUCUUGGAAUAAAACCAGAUCAAGGAGUGCAGAUCGUUUAUGAACGCAGUGGAGAAGUCAUAUCGAGUAUCAUUGCAUCGGUUAUUCUCAUCACCUUAAUCCUAGCUCUUUUCCGAGGCAGACUACGUGGAAAUUUUUCAAUGGACAUCUUCUCCCAAAUGACUAGCGCGAAAUAUACUCUAGUCGAUCCAUUGACAGGAACCGGAAAGGGCGUACGAUUUGCUGACGUGGCCGGCCUGAAAGAAGCCAAAAUUGAAAUCAUGGAAUUCGUUGACUACCUCAAACACCCGGAGCACUACCGAACUCUUGGUGCCAAAGUUCCUAGAGGAGCCUUGCUUCUGGGCCCUCCUGGCUGUGGAAAGACACUUUUGGCAAAGGCCGUCGCAACAGAAGCCAAUGUACCUUUUCUAUCCAUGAAUGGUUCAGAGUUCAUUGAGAUGAUCGGAGGACUUGGAGCAGCUAGAGUUAGAGAUUUAUUCAAGGAAGGCCGAAAAAGGGCACCGAGCAUAAUUUACAUCGACGAGAUCGACGCGAUAGGCAAAAAGCGGGCAGAAGAACUGUCCUUCCAAAGUUCUGGGGAAUCGGAGCAGACAUUAAACCAACUGCUCGUGGAGAUGGAUGGUAUGUCCUCGAAGGAAGGCGUCAUCGUUCUCGCGUCUACGAACAGAUCUGAGGUUCUGGACAAGGCCCUUUUAAGACCUGGAAGAUUCGAUAGGCAUAUAUUAAUCGACCUGCCUACCUUGGAAGAGAGGAAGCAGAUAUUCGAGCAGCACCUCAAGGGCAUCACUUUGGAGCACGCUCCCUCGACCUACUCCAAAAGAUUGGCCUACCUUACUCCUGGAUUUAGUGGCGCUGACAUAGCAAACGUAUGCAACGAGGCAGCUCUGCAUGCCGCUAGAUUUAAGAAAAAGAUCGUCGAUGGAAGUGAUCUGAUGUACGCGAUCGACAGAACGGUAGGAGGAACGGAAAAGAAGAGCCAUGCCAUUUCGCCUUCGGAAAAACGAGUAGUUGCCUAUCACGAAGCCGGGCAUGCUUUGGUUGGCUGGCUUUUGGAACACACCGAUGCUCUACUCAAAGUCACCAUAGUUCCAAGAACUACCAUGGCCUUGGGCUUCGCUCAAUACACCCCUGCCGACCAGAAACUCUACAAUCAAGAGCAACUCUUCGAUAGGAUGUGCAUGGCUCUCGGUGGGAGGGUGGCAGAGAGUCUGGUCUUCAACAAAAUCACAACAGGAGCGCAGAAUGACUUGGACAAGGUUACCAAGAUGGCAUACUCACAAGUCCAGGAGUUUGGGAUGAGUCCUGUCGUAGGUCUUCUUGCGUUUGACAAGGAACACCUUACCACGAAAAAUAAGAAAUUGUACAGUAAGAAACUGGCGUAUGUGAUGGACGAGGAAGCAAGGAGAUUGAUCGCGAGGGCAUAUACGAGUACGGAAACGUUACUGCGACAGAACAUGGACAAGUUGGAAUUGAUCGCUUCAAACUUGUUGAAAAGAGAGACUCUGUCUCACGAAGAUAUUGAAAAGCUGAUCGGUCCCCCGCCUUAUGGAAAAAAGGUGUUAAUCGAGCUUUUGGAGUUCGAAGGGUCCAACAACUCGCCGCAAGCUUCUACGCCAGAACCAGCAGCAGCUUAGUUGGUGACCGCGUCUCAUCUUGUAAAUAUCUCGAGCUGUUGAAAAAGUCAUCGAUUAUCGCGUCGUCACUAAUUAGAGCACUAUGGUCUUCCCCGUAACGUUAAUGGGUAUCAGACCUUAUUAAGCGUACGGAGGAAUAGGUAAGACUAUUAAAGACGAUCAACCCCAGGUCACUCAACCAGGUCAACGGUCCCACGUCAAAUUCCCU